rnacentral:rRNA from 1 species
UACGUAGGGUGCGAGCGUUAAUCGGAAUUACUGGGCGUAAAGCGUGUGUAGGCGGAUCGUUAAGUGCCUUGUGAAAUCCCACGGCUCAACCGUGGAACUGCUUGGCAUACUGGCGAUCUUGAGCCACUUAGGGGCUACCGGAACAAAUGGUGGGGCGGUGAAAUGCGUAGAUAUCAUUUGGAACGUCAAUGGUGAAAACAGGUAGCUGGGAGUGUGCUGACGCUGAGGCACGAAAGCCAGGGGAGCAAACGGG